rnacentral:misc_RNA from 1 species
GUGAAUCAUCGAAUUUUUGAACGCAAAUUGCGCUUUCUGGCAUCCCGGGAAGUAUGCCUGUUUGAGGGUCAGUAUUAACAAAAAAUCGGUUUGGUUGCAAAUUGUGACGUUUCCGGCGUUUGGGCUAUCUUAUCUUUUUUGUUUAAGGGGUUUAAAUUUGUCCUUUUUUGUGCAUUUUUUGUCGAUCACUAAUUUUUUUUUAUUCGUCUAUU